GAUGAACGCUAGCGGCAGGCCUAACACAUGCAAGUCGAGGGGUAGCAGGAUUAAGCUUGCUUAAUUGCUGACGACCGGCGCACGGGUGCGUAACGCGUAUGCAACCUACCUUAUACUGGGGUAUAGCCCGGAGAAAUUCGGAUUAAUCCCCCAUAGUACUAAUGAAUCGCAUGGUUUAUUAGUUAAAGCAUUGCGGUAUAAGAUGGGCAUGCGUCCUAUUAGCUAGAUGGUGAGGUAACGGCUCACCAUGGCUACGAUAGGUAGGGGGCCUGGGAGGGUGGUCCCCCACACUGGUACGGAGACACGGACCAGACUCCUACGGGAGGCAGCAGUGAGGAAGAUUGGUCAAUGGGCGCAAGCCUGAACCAGCCAUGCCGCGUGCAGGAAGAAUGCCCUAUGGGUUGUAAAUUGCUUUUAUUUGGGAAUAAACCUCUUUACGUGUAGAGAGCUGAAGGUACCAAAUGAAUAAGCACCGGCUAACUCCGUGCCAGCCGCCGCGGUAA
rnacentral:rRNA from 1 species